CCGCGUGCAGGAUGAAGGCCUUCGGGUUGUAAACUGCUUUUGUACGGAACGAAAAGGUUUGACUUAAUACGUUGGACUCAUGACGGUACCGUAAGAAUAAGCACCGGCUAACUACGUGCCACCAGCCGCGGUAAUACAUACGGUGCGAGCGUUAAUCGGAAUUACUGGGCGUAAAGCGUGCGCAGGCGGUUAUGUAAGACAGAUGUGAAAUCCCCGGGCUCAACCUGGGAACUGCAUUAUUGACUGCAUAGCUGGAGUACGGCAGAGGGGGAUGGAAUUCCGCGUGUAGCAAUGAAAUGCGUAGAUAUGCGGAGGAACACCGAUGGCGAAGGCAAUCCCCUGGGCCUGUACUGACGCUCAUGCACCAAAGCGUGGGGAGCAAACAGGAUUACAUACCCUGGUAGUCCACGCCCUAAACGAUGUCAACUGGUUGUUGGGUCUUCACUGACUCACUAACGAAGCUAACGCGUGAAGUUGACCGCCUGGGGAGUACGGCCGCACGGUUGAAACUCAAAGGAAUUGACGGGGACCCGCACAAGCGGUGGAUGAUGUGGUUUAAUUCCAUGCAACGCGAAAAACCUUACCCACCUUUGACAUGUACGGAAGUUACCAUAGAUGGU
rnacentral:rRNA from 1 species